AGCCCACAAGUCAGAUGCAGGUGGUGGUUGAGAAAGCAGCAAACAAACUUUGAAAAAUGAAAGGGGGACACAAAGGUACGGGCCGGAAGACUGCACACAGCAGGUUAGAAAACCAGAGCAUUCUUAUGUUCUCUCUGAUUGAAGGUGGGGAUAAAACAGAGAUUUUUCAAGAAGAAAAUGAAGCAUACCGUUUGAAAAAAUAGAGAUCAAAUAAUGUACCUUUUAACCUUUGGAAAACAAUGUUUUCACAACACAAACUACUGAAAGUAAGUAAAGUUCAACAAACAUCUCUUGAUUGUUGGAGAAUGGUCAGAAGAAAUAUCUGCAUAUUCACGCUUCCAAGAAAGAGGCUGAUGAAGUCUCCUGGGACCUGCUAGAAAACCAGAUCAAUUAAAUGUUCAGAUUUAGCAUAAACAGGGGACCAGGGAGCCCCUCUCGCUUUCUGGGCCAGUCUGGAGACCCGCAGCACCUGAACUCGUAGGUAGAAGCCUGGAGAGAAAUCACUGCAGUGCCUGAGUAGGAUUUCCCCUCUCUAGAGUUGAAUGGGGAAUAGCAGCAGGCAAAUGACAGAGAAGAGAGAAGGCAAAGCCAAAAAUUCAGCCGCACAAGACAUCUGGGCUUUCCGGAAUAAUUGUUUGUGAUCUCAUGUGUGGGUGCUGUUGUGUGCACAUGUGUGUGAGAAAAGUUUGCAGGGGAGGCUUUGGUUGAAGGAGGGAGGGUGGUUCUUUUUUUAGCCUGGAAAAUUGCCACAAUGUGACAAAAACCUUAGUACACCCCAUAUGGGUGAAAGGCAAUAGGAAAAAAAAAUCCCUCUCAGAAAAAGUAACCAGUUGCCUGAACCCUAACCCUGAAGUGAAAAUUUACCUGGCCAAGAACAAAAAUCCUAUUCAGUCUGGAGAAGCCUAAUCUCAACCUGCGUGGGGGCGAUCCUCGCCAAUGGAGCGGGAAUGCCCUGCCAUUUAUCACCUAAGAUAAAGCUCUCAGCAAUCCCCACAUGCAAAUGGAAACCUGUGUGUAGAAAGGAUUAAUCUAAGUUGUUCAGCAUUGUUCAAAGUGUGUCUGUGGAGGUCGUUCUGUCUCCCCUGCCUCCAAACAAGCAAUAAAUUAUCCACCUGUGAGCCAAUUUCCCAACCAGAAAGAGACAAUGUGGGCAGAAGCGGCC
rnacentral:lncRNA from 1 species